rnacentral:rRNA from 1 species
GAUGAACGCUGGCGGUGUGCCUAAUACAUGCAAGUCGAGCGAACGGACGAGAAGCUUGCUUCUCUGAUGUUAGCGGCGGACGGGUGAGUAACACGUGGAUAACCUACCUAUAAGACUGGGAUAACUUCGGGAAACCGGAGCUAAUACCGGAUAAUAUUUUGAACCGCAUGAUUCAACAGUGAAAGACGGUCUUGCUGUCACUUAUAGAUGGAUCCGCGCUGCAUUAGCUAUUUGGUAAGGUAACGGCUUACCAAGGCAACGAUGCAUAGCCGACCUGAGAGGGUGAUCGGCCACACUGGAACUGAGACACGGCCCAGACUCCUACGGGAGGCAGCAGUAGGGAAUCUUCCGCAAUGGGCGAAAGCCUGACGGAGCAACGCCGCGUGAGUGAUGAAGGUCUUCGGAUCGUAAAACUCUGUUAUUAGGGAAGAACAAAUGUGUAAGUAACUGUGCACAUCUUGACGGUACCUAAUCAGAAAGCCACGGCUAACUACGUG